AUUGCUUCCCUGGACUAUUAACAGGAAAGGUGCGAGUGUAACGGGGAGUGCUGCAAGGGAAGGCCAUGUGAAGACACAGUGAGAAGGCCACCAUAUGCAAGCCACAAGGGAACUCUCACCAGAACCAACCCUGCUGACACCUUCAUCUUCACUUCUGGCCCCUGGAACUUUUUCCUGGAGAUUCCACUGAGAUCCACUCUGCAUUGCCUGUCACUUUAACCAGGUAUGAUACUUACGGAAGCUCCUGUGCUUUGCCGCUGAGGCUUGUUGAAUCCAUGCCACUGCGGUAAGUCACUACUAUGUCUGAAUUGGCUCUUUUUGUAGAAGUUAGCUGUUUAUUCUCACUGUGGUAACAGGGUUUUGUUAUUGGGUCUCAUUUGUUUGGCAUCCUUGGUGGAAUCAAGCCUUUCGUUUUCAUUGCCUUUUGCUUUCUUUCGUGCUUCCAUUUUUUGUUGUGUGUCUAAAAGUGUUGUAAUGAGAAGGAGACUCACUGAAUAGAAUAUUAACAUGAACCCUUAUAGGGUAUAAGCCUGUUGUGCAAAAGCCAGUUUCACUGACCAUUGAAUUUAUGGUUUCUCAUCAAGCCAAUAUCCAUUUGGGAAAAAUGUUGUGUGUCAACAGUAAACCUGAUAAGGUUCUCCUACCAUCUUUAGUUUCUGAUUUGAGAGCUUGGCUUUGAGAGGUCUGAGAAUUUUCUGCUUGGGGAGUGGGUGCAGACUGUCAGGCCUGUGUUUGGAGGCAGUUUUUGAGCGAACAUUGCUAUGGGGUUGUCUAAGCCUAAAUCAUCUCUUUUCGUUGGAAAGAUUUCUGCUUCUUAUGGGUGCCCUCUAAGUCUUCUACCUAUUUCUCUAAAGGCAUAACUUCACUGAGCUUGAUUUGAGUUUCAGUGGCCAUUCUGGGGAACAUUUGAUUUGAAUACAAUUGUUCAUUUGCUGUUUUUGCCACCAGCAUUUAUGACCCCAGAGACAGCCAUAACUGGCCCCUGUCUCCCCAGGAGACCCUCCAAGACCAGCAGAUAGGUUUGGUCCUAUCUCCUAUAAAGUCACCACCUUUGCCCUGAUGCUCAUGGGCAUGUAAGCUUGUGUUUGCCUGCUAAGAGUAGAGGCUCUGUUUCCCCCAGUCCUGUGAGCUCCUGCAGUCAAACCCCACUGACCUUCAAAGCCAAAUGCUCUGGGGAUCCACCCCCUGAUGCUAGACUCCAGGCUGGAGAGUCUGACAUUGGGCUCAGAACUCUCACUCCUGUGGGAGAACUUCUGCGAUUCAAUUAUUCUUCAGUUUGUGGGUUGCCCACCUUGGGAGUAUGGGAUUUAAUUGUAUUGUGAGUGUGCCCCUCAUACUGUCUUGUUGAGGUUCUUCUUUAUGUUUUUGAAUGUGGAAUGUCUUUUUGUUAGGUUUCAGCCUUUUUAAAUUGAUGGUUGUUCAGCAGUUAGUUGUGAUUUUGGUAUUCUUUGGAGAGGAGGUGAACACAAAGCCCUUCUAUUCUGCCAUUUUGUCUCCAAUCUCCAACUGUUCAUUUGAGAAACACUUAUAAAGAGAAUAUUUUUCAGGCCCAAUGGGAAGCAUUUUUUAACCAGUAACAGCAGCUUCCAAAUAAAAUUCUCAUCAACAAUUUCUUCACUAGAAGAUUUUUUUGGCCAACUCUAAUGAGCAAUUUGACAAACUCAUGUAACAAAAAAUAAGACUUGUCUCCCAGGUAAAUGCUCCCCAUCCUUGUCCUCCAGUUCCUAUCACUAUCCAAAUAUUCCUCUUCUUUUUUCCCUUCCGAUUUCUCCUUCGAUACCUCUUUUAACUCCUCCCUUCUCUUUCUCUUGUUUGAUCACCUAAUUCUUUUAAGAAUCCAAACUCUAGUUUCCUAUAAAGAUCUAUCCCUCCAUGGGUCAAUCAUGUAAGCAAGUGUAGACUUUAAACUAUGGAACCAAUCUAUAUCAAAGCUAUAACUGAGGAUUUCCCUGAAGCAACAGACCAGCAAACAUUCAUAGAAGAAUUUCAAAUUCUUUGAAGUGCAUUGGAACCUCAAAUGCUAAAUUGGUAUUGCAAAAGGUGAUUGAACUGACCUAGAAAAGGAACCAAAAGAUCCUUCCUUCCACAGUAAACUUGAGAGUUAAAAAAUGCAUGCUUCCCAAUAGAGGAAAGUUUCCUAAAAGCCAUACUCCAAAUAUUUCCAGUAAAAAUCAUUUGAAAAUCUGUUGCAUAAUAAUGUGAAUGUAGUUAACACUACUAAACUUUACACUCAAAAAUGAUUAAGAUUAUUUCAUGUUAUAUGUUUUUUUAACCACAAUUAAACAUUUAAAAAAAUUAAAAAAUAUUAAAAUUUGGUUGAACUAUAGUUUAAUCAUGGAAACUGAAAAGAAAUAAUAGGAGAUUUUUAGAAAGAUUAGAAAAUACCUUCUAAAAAUAUUUGGGAGUUAAAGAAGGGACAGCCCUUUCAUUUCAUUUUGACAAUGGAGUUAAACAUGAAAAUGGAGAUCUAAUUUAGAAACAAAAUUGGGGUGUUCUCAUGUGGCUCAGUGGGUUAAGGUUCCAGUGUUGUCACUGAAGUGGCUCAGGUCACUGCUGUGGCAUGGGUUCAAUCCCUGGUCCUGAGAAGUUCCACAUGCACUGUCCACCCCACCCCCACCCCCCGCCCCUGAAAAAAAAAAAAACAAAAAACCUAAGUUGGAAUGGUAAAUAAUCCCUUACACCUGACAGAACAUUUUGAAAGGGCUUUAGAAAAAAAACAAGCUGGAAGGAGUUCCCGUCGUGAUGCAGUGGUUAAUGAAUCCGACUGGGAACAAUGAUGUUGCGGGUUCUAUCCCUGCCCUUGCUCAGUGGGUUAACGAUCCGGCGUUGCCGUCUGUAGGUUGAAGAUGCGGCUUCGGAUCCAGCGUUGCUGUGGCUCUAGCAUAGGCCAGUGACUACAGCUCCGAUUAGACCCCUAGCCUGGGAACCUCCAUAUGCCGCGGGAGUGGCCCAAGAAAUGGCAAAAAGACAAAAACAAACAGAAAAACAAGCUGGAAGCCAAAAUAAACUUAGGGUCCUAUAGGUCAAAUGGUUAGGUGGUCCAUUGUCAGACUAACCACCUGUUGAAAAGGACACUCAUAGAUAUUUAUAAAUUGAAAUGACCCUGGGAAAAAAGGCAGUCCCAUCCAACCAAAGAAAAACCAAGGCAAAGAAAAAUUAUUUAAUUCAGAUGAAUGAGGG
ensembl:lncRNA